UCCGCCCAGCUCAGUGUUAUGCUCUCACUGACUGAGCUCCCACCGCCCAGCAUGCAAAUAGUGCUCAAGCAAAAGCACCCGGAGGAGACCUGGACCCUGACCUUACCUAUUUUCGCAGCCUCCGCUUUCAAGUUGAAAUCCCAGGUCCUUGGUAACUUCAGGGACAUUUUGCUUCCGACUUGGGUGCCGGCCAGGUGCUGAGAUUGCAGCCAACAGCAAGCGGAGCAAAGCCUCGUGCUCCCGGGAGGUUUGUUGUAGUGAGAAGAGACAGGCAAUGAAUCAAAUGACUGAGUAUGGUGUAUUAGCCAGUGGAGAAUGCUGUGGGAGAAAAGACAUGCUGUAUGAGGAGAGAGUCUUGUCAGAUUGGCGGGAGAGGAAGCACGAUGGCAUUUCUAAGUAGCUGGGUGAUGAAGUCUUCAUUGACACAACAGCACUGCAGAAAAGACCUGAAGAAAACGAGAAUGGGACAGGUACACGUGCAGACGAGCCUCCUGGUGCAGCAAAGGGCGAGCAAAGGAGCGGGCAUUCUACAGAGGUGGGUGUGAACUGGUGUAUUCCAGGGGCAACUGGAAGCCAGCCAUGUGUCUGUUAUGAGCCAUCUUCCACCCUGGCGGGUCUACCAUUGCCUCCCCUGUGCUUGUCUGGGCAAUGUCUUAGUUAGGGUUCCUAUUGCUAUGAAGAGACACCAUGACCAUGACAAAUCUUAUAAAGAGGAACUAUUUCAUUGGGCCUGGCUUACAGUUUCAGAGGUUUAGCCUAUUAUCAUGGAGGAAGCAUGGUAGCAUGCAGGCAGACAUGAGGCUGGAGAGGUAGCUGAGAUUUCUACAUCUAGAUCAUCAGACAACAGGAAGAGAAGUGACACUGGGCCUCGCUUGAGCAUCUGAAAACCUCAAAGCCAACCCCCCCCCCAGUGACACACUUUCUCCAACAAGGUAACACCUACUCCAACCAGGCUAUGGGCCUGUGGGGCCCAUUUUCAUUCAAUCCAUGACAGGCAACAUCCAUUUCACCUUGGUACAACAAAUAAUGCCAGUCAUUAAACAGGCUGGGAUGGGGGGGAGGGCAGAGAACCAGCCUGCAUCUGUGGACUCUGGCCUUUCAUCCAUGAAUUCAAGCCUAUGUUCCACAGAGGAGCACAGGAUUAGAAAAGCAUUUGGAAUCACAAAAACCUAAGGAGGUUUUAGACGCAUCAGCCGUCAUAGUGCACACCAGACUACAAAGACUUGCAGAUUCCCUGCUGGGACCAACACAGUACAAUGCCUGCAAGUGCCACAAGGGGUCUGAUUGGCAGAGAUGUGCUGAUUGCUCGAGAAUUGUGGAUGGUGAUCUGUUCCACAGGGUAUCUUCUACUUAUUCUUCAUUCCUUCUGGGACAUCAACACUGCAUGUAAACACCCAUUGACAUUGCCCCUCAAGAAGAAAUACAUAACUACAUGGCUGGAGUCCCUCUGGUGAAGCCCAGACCAAAUUUCCUCUCCCUGGCUUGGAGAGUAGGGCCUCUCUGUCUGCUAGCCUAUCAUGAGUUAUGCCUGCCCUUGUGAACAGUGCUUUGCAAAGCUGUACUUGAGCACCACUGAACCCACAGUUGAUCUGGAAAGGGUGGGAGUUUAGAAACCUGAGCUAGAAUGAGAAAUCAGAGACCAGGAGUCCGAGAACAGACUUCUAGGGCUCCAACUCUUUUCCUUCAGCUUCUGUCCGCAUGGCACAGGGAUGCUGAUCAACCUUUCUAAGCUUUACUAUUUUCUUGUGCAACAGUGAGUUGAUUGGCUCUUGGAGCUGUGGUUCUCAACCAGUGGGUCACAACCCCCUUGGGGCUCAAACAAGUUUUUCACAGGGGUCACCCAAGACCAUCCAAAAACACAGAUAUUUACAUUAUAAUUCAUAACAGUAGCAAAAUUACAGUUAUGAGUAGCAAUAAAAAUAAUUGUAUGGUUGGGGUCACCAUACCAUGAGGAACUAUAUUAAAGGGUCAUAGCAUUAGAAAAGUUGAGAACCACUGGCUUAGAGAUCCUCGGGUCACGUGAAAUAUUCAGUGCAAAGUACUAAAUAUAGUCUGUGGCAUAUUAGCAGGUUCUAAAUGUAAAUAAGAAAACAAUACUCAUUGGUAAAAUUAUGAAUCAUGAAGAUCUCUUCGAGCUCCCUUGUACGCGACUUCCUCUCUAGAAAACUAGAGUGCACCAUCUCUGCUCCAACUGGAGGAAUACAGUCUGUUCUUCCUGUUUCCCACCAAAGCCACCCUGAACCAGACGCAGAAGGACACAUAUAGGAAAGAGGAAGGGCGCUGGCUGUUCACCAAGCACUGUAGUGCUGAGGUGCUCAGGCAGUGGCUACUUCUAGACCACAAACCACUCGUGUGGUUUAAGGCUCCCCUCUUUGCCUGCCCAAUGGCCUAGCACAUGUGCAGACAACGACACACCCAACUUGAUUUAGUCGGACACACAGGGUAAGAGGAUGUGGGAUGUCAGGAAGAUGACAGUCAAACCCUGUCAGAGAGGGGAAGAGAUCUGAGCUUCAGAAAUGCAAGCCUGGAACCCCGUCUCCCUCGGGCUCCAUGGUGAGGAUAUCCAGUGCAAUGUUUUGCAGAACUGAAAUUCUGUUCUGACAAAGGGUCUCAUGUGACCCAGGUUGACUUUGAACUUCCUAUGUAGUUCAGGGUGAUAUUGAAAUUCUGAUCCUCCUGCCUCAUCCUCCCAAGUGCUGGGAUUGCAGGUGUGCAGCACCAGUUCAAGUUUAGGUGGAGCUGAGUCUUGAACCCAGAGCCUUGUGCUGCUACACGAGCAGUGGACCAACUAAGCUAUGUCUCCAGUUUCUGGAGAGCUAUGCUUUGUAGGAUUUGUUUUUGGCUUUUGUGGUUGCUUUGUUUGUUUAACAUUUUGUUCAUGUGUAUAAGUGCUUUGCCUGCACAUAUAUGUCAUGCAUGCCCAGUGCCCUUGGAGACCAGAGGACGGUAUGAGAGUCCCUAGAACCAGGGUUACAACAGACAGUUGCAAGUCACCAUGUGGGUUCUGGGAACAGCACCCUAGUCCUCUGUAAGAACAGCAGGUGCUCCCAGCUCAUGAGCCAUGCCUCCAACCCAAGAACUAUGCUGCAGAGACAAUCUGGACUGUUCGGCACCAAUUUCACUGUCCUGUGGUCAUGAGAUUCACAGCCAAGCUCUGCUGGAACAGGAAGUGUCAGCAGCUGAUCCCAGAGCUGAUAUGAAACUCUGAGGUCCCAGUUGAGUAACUACACACAGGACCGACCUGUUGGGGGAGGAAGGGUGAGCAGGAGCAGGAAAUUUCACAUGUUGGCAGGGACAACUCACUGGCUUCACUCAACUGCCUUUCCCCUCUUACAGACACUGCUCCUCCUGCUUUGCAGAACCAUGCGGGACAGAGGAACAAUUUGUUUGUAAGUCAGGUCAGAAAUCUGUAUUUUGUUGGAAAGUUUUAGGGACCCCUAAAAAUAAAUAAUAUGAUCCCUGAAACACACAAUAUGCAAUACAAUCUUAAAGGGAAAGGAAUUAGUUUGUGAUUGUUAGUUCUGAUGGUAAAAAGAGAAAAUGCUUUCUGGUCAUUUUGAUAAAAGAAUCCCAUCAUAGUUUAUCUAUUAUGCAAAAGGUUUUGCUUAUGAAGUCUGAAGUAACCAUAAAAUUAAAACUCAUAUUCGUCUUCAUUUGAAAUAUAACUAUUUACCCUGUGAACCCUGAAUUGCAUUAGCUAAAAUUGCUCCCAAUAAGUUUCAUGAGUGGGUCUUGAUAGCUGUGCUUGAGGAAGAGGGGAAACCAGCAAUGAGGCUGUUAAUCCACAAAAGAAUUUGAAGGGGCUGCAAGGAUAAGUCAUUGAUAAAGUGGUUGUCACACAGGCAUGAGAACCAGAGUCCAACCAGAACCAUGUGCAAAAGCUAGGAGAAGUGGUGUACACCUAUAGACCCAGCGCUGGGGAGGCAGAGACAGGUAGACCUCCGGGGCUCAGUGGUCAGUCAGCCAAUCCUGCCUGAAGAGCUGCAGGCUAGUAAAAGACACAAAAACCAAAACAGCUCUUACGAACAACUUCCAUGGUUGCCCUCUUCGUUUUUAUGUAGUCCAGGUUCCCAGCCCAGGAAACAGCGCAGUCCACAAAGGGGAGAGCUUCUCAUCUCAAGUAACCUAAUCAAAAUAACCUUCCACAGAGGAUUUUAGGAGUUUAUCAGGAACCAGGAAAAGACACACACCGCAUCACACACACACACACACACACACACACACACACACACACACACACACACAGACAUGCACACACGCAUGUAUGUACACACACUAAUGAUGAUGAUGAUUUCACAGCAUGGUGGGGCCUUGCAGACGUGAGUAAGCCGAGGAUCCUGUGUGAUGGCAACAUUCCCCUGGAUUAUCCUCCGGGCCCUGAUUGUAAUUGUAAAUAUCCCAAAGGGGAACGGGAUGUCUGACUGUGGAAGCACCAGGUGUGAGACAGAACAGAGGUCCAAGGGAUGCCAAGAAGGAGCAAUUAGGCAAGGAGUGUAGCAGACUCUAGCCACGGCAAUGGUAAGGAAGUCCAUCUUCCCUCAUGUUCUCCACAAGGAAUCAGCCCCAGUGAAACCUCACUUUAUCUCAGUGAGACUAAUUUUGAACAUCCAACUUCCAAACCUACCAGAGAAUAAAGCUGUGGCCUGAGACAUUCAACAUUGUGAUUUUUGUUGUAGCAGCAGGAAGAGGCUCAUACAAUGUUAUAAAACUGACUUGCUUCAAGGGUCUUAUGGCAAUUUUCAACAAUGUUCUUUUCCUCUAUUUAUUACAUAUUUACUUUGUGCCAAACUCAAAAGUUGGUGAGUCUAUCAAGGAGGAAGACACAGAGUGAGAAAUGAGGUUCUAAGCUAUGUUUGAAUGAGAAACAUCCUCCAUAGACUCACUUGGUCCCCAGUUCUUGGCACUGUUGGCAGCAGCUAUGGAUUUGUAGAACUUGAUGUUUUUCUGGAGGAAGUAUGUGGGGGGGUUGAGAAUGCAUAGUUUCACCCCACCCACCUACUUCUAGUUUGUUCUCUCUGUUUCCUGUAUACAGAUGAAAUAUAACUUUUCUCCCACUCCUACCUACUGUCAUGCCUUCCUUGCUGUUGUGUACUCUAAAUCUCUGGAACAAUAAGUCAAAAUAAACCUUCCUUAAGUUGC